UACGAAGGGGGCGAGCGUUGUUCGGAAUUACUGGGCGUAAAGAGUGUGUAGGCGGUGCUCUAAGUUCGGUGUGAAAUCUCCUGCUUAACUGGGAGGGUGCGCCGGAAACUGGAGUGCUCGAGCGUGGGAGAGGAAAGCGGAAUUCCUGGUGUAGCGGUGAAAUGCGUAGAUAUCAGGAGGAACACCGAUGGCGAAGGCAGGUCUCUGGGCUGACACUGACGCUCAUGCACGAAAGCGUGGGGAGCAAACAGG
rnacentral:rRNA from 1 species